AGCGGAACCAUCGGAUACACAGUCUCCGAUAGCCCUGGGGGAUACUGUAAUACCCGGAGGAACAGCCGCAGUUACAAGCGGAUGGGGACUUUUUAUCUAUAGUCCGACGGCAAACGCUCUUCCAACCGCACUUCAAUGGUUCAAUUUGAAUGUUGUAUCGACUUCGGUAUGCCAGGAAUAUUUUCCGGAGAUACAAAUUUACGAAGACCACAUAUGCGCUCUGAGUAGGAUUGGACAGGGAGUAUGCAGUGGUGACAGUGGCGGCCCACUCGUCGUGAACAAAAAAGUCGUAGGAAUUACUUCGUGGGUUAGUCCUUGUGGCAACGGAUAUCCAG
rnacentral:misc_RNA from 1 species